rnacentral:rRNA from 1 species
GAUGAACGCUGGCGGCGUGCUUAACACAUGCAAGUCGAACGAUGAAAGCGGGAGCUUGCUCCUGCUGGAUUAGUGGCGAACGGGUGAGUAACACGUGAGCAAUCUGCCCCGAACUCUGGGAUAAGCGUUGGAAACGACGUCUAAUACCGGAUACGACGCGCGAAGGCAUCUUCUGCGCGUGGAAAGAACUUCGGUUCGGGAUGAGCUCGCGGCCUAUCAGCUAGUUGGUGAGGUAACGGCUCACCAAGCCUACGACGGGUAGCCGGCCUGAGAGGGUGACCGGCCAAACUGGGACUGAGACACGGCCCAGACUCCUACGGGAGGCAGCAGUGGGGAAUAUUGCACAAUGGGCGCAAGCCUGAUGCAGCAACGCCGCGUGAGGGACGACGGCCUUCGGGUUGUAAACCUCUUUUAGCAGGGAAGAAGCGAAAGUGACGGUACCUGCAGAAAAAGCACCGGCUAACUACGUGCCAGCCGCCGCAGUAAUAC